UACGGAGGGUGCAAGCGUUGUUCGGAAUUACUGGGCGUAAAGAGCGUGUAGGCGGCCUUGUAAGUCAGAUGUGAAAUCCCUUGGCUUAACCAAGGAAGUGCAUUUGAAACUGCAGGGCUUGAGUACGAGAGGGGGAAGCGGAAUUCCCGGUGUAGAGGUGAAAUUCGUAGAUAUCGGGAGGAACACCGGUGGCGAAGGCGGCUUCCUGGAUCGAUACUGACGCUGAGACGCGAAAGCGUGGGGAGCAAACAGGAUUAGAUACCCGGGUAGUCC
rnacentral:rRNA from 1 species